AGAGAGAGACAUGCGCGCAUAUCAAUAAGCGGAGGAAAAGAAACUAACAAGGAUUCCCCUAGUAACGGCGAGUGAAGCGGGAAGAGCUCAAAUUUGAAAUCUUAAAGGGUUUCCCUUUACGAAUUGUAGCUUAAAGAAGUGUUUUCUGUUGAGGUUUUGGUAAAAGUUCUUUGGAAUAGGACAUCAUAGAGGGUGAGAAUCCCGUAUUUGACCUUUACUUUCAACUUUGUGAUACACUUUCAAAGAGUCGGAUUGUUUGGGAAUGCAGUCCAAAAUGGGUGGUAAAUUUCAUCUAAAGCUAAAUAUUGGCGAGAGACCGAUAGCGAACAAGUACCGUGAGGGAAAGAUGAAAAGAACUUUGAAAAGAGAGUUAAACAGUACGUGAAAUUGUCAAAAGGGAAGCGUUUGACACCAGUGUUGUUUUUCUGAAAAUCAAUUAAAGAACUGUUUAUGCUAAGUUGUUUAGACUUUAUCAGCUAACUGUUUAGUUUUGAGCUUUUCUUUAAUGCACUUUUCAGUUAACAAGUCAACAUCAAUUUCUUUUGCUGUAAAAAAGCUUGAGGAAGGUGGCUUGAGAUUCGUCUUAAGUGUUUAUAGCCUCUUGCCUAUGCAGUCGGAGAGAUUGAGGUCUGCAGCGUAGAUCCUUCGGGGCUAAAUGCAUUUGUGCUAAGUUAUAGCAUUUUAUAGACAACUUGUUGACUAUGAUUUGUCUUGUAGCUUACUCGCUUAUGUUAUUUUACCUACGCUUAGGAUGUUGAAGACUCUACAGAGAUA
rnacentral:rRNA from 1 species